rnacentral:piRNA from 1 species
UUAUUCCUGUGAGAUUGUAGAUUAG